rnacentral:rRNA from 1 species
GACGAACGCUGUGCGGCGUGCUUAACACAUGCAAGUCGAACGGAAAGGCCCUGCUUUUGUGGGGUGCUCGAGUGGCGAACGGGUGAGUAACACGUGAGUAACCUGCCCUUGACUUUGGGAUAACUUCAGGAAACUGGGGCUAAUACCGGAUAGGAGCUCCUGCUGCAUGGUGGGGGUUGGAAAGUUUCGGCGGUUGGGGAUGGACUCGCGGCUUAUCAGCUUGUUGGUGGGGUAGUGGCUUACCAAGGCUUUGACGGGUAGCCGGCCUGAGAGGGUGACCGGCCACAUUGGGACUGAGAUACGGCCCAGACUCCUACGGGAGGCAGCAGUGGGGAAUAUUGCACAAUGGGCGGAAGCCUGAUGCAGCAACGCCGCGUGCGGGAUGACGGCCUUCGGGUUGUAAACCGCUUUCGCCUGUGACGAAGCGUGAGUGACGGUAAUGGGUAAAGAAGCACCGGCUAACUACGUGCCAGCAGCCGCGGUGAUACGUAGGGUGCGAGCGUUGUCCGGAUUUAUUGGGCGUAAAGGGCUCGUAGGUGGUUGAUCGCGUCGGAAGUGUAAUCUUGGGGCUUAACCCUGAGCGUGCUUUCGAUACGGGUUGACUUGAGGAAGGUAGGGGAGAAUGGAAUUCCUGGUGGAGCGGUGGAAUGCGCAGAUAUCAGGAGGAACACCAGUGGCGAAGGCGGUUCUCUGGGCCUUUCCUGACGCUGAGGAGCGAAAGCGUGGGGAGCGAACAGGCUUAGAUACCCUGGUAGUCCACGCUGUAAACGGUGGGUACUAGGUGUGGGGUCCAUUCCACGGGUUCCGUGCCGUAGCUAACGCUUUAAGUACCCCGCCUGGGGAGUACGGCCGCAAGGCUAAAACUCAAAGGAAUUGACGGGGCCCCGCACAAGCGGCGGAGCAUGCGGAUUAAUUCGAUGCAACGCGUAGAACCUUACCUGGGUUUGACAUGGAUCGGGAGUGCUCAGAGAUGGGUGUGCCUCUUUUGGGGUCGGUUCACAGGUGGUGCAUGGCUGUCGUCAGCUCGUGUCGUGAGAUGUUGGGUUAAGUCCCGCAACGAGCGCAACCCUUGUUCACUGUUGCCAGCACGUUAUGGUGGGGACUCAGUGGAGACCGCCGGGGUCAACUCGGAGGAAGGUGGGGAUGACGUCAAGUCAUCAUGCCCCUUAUGUCCAGGGCUUCACGCAUGCUACAAUGGCUGGUACAGAGAGUGGCGAGCCUGUGAGGGUGAGCGAAUCUCGGAAAGCCGGUCUCAGUUCGGAUUGGGGUCUGCAACUCGACCUCAUGAAGUCGGAGUCGCUAGUAAUCGCAGAUCAGCAACGCUGCGGUGAAUACGUUCCCGGGGCUUGUACACACCGCCCGUCAAGUCAUGAAAGUUGGUAACACCCGAAGCCGGUGGCCUAACCGUUGUGGGGGAGCCGUCGAAGGUGGGACUGGUGAUUAGGACUAAG